UCCUUUUAGUUGUGGCACAAUCUGGGGAGGGUCAGAUGGUUAGAAAAUCUAAAACUUCGACGGGUUGAGAUUUUGGUCAAGAUCUGACCCGAAAGGAUCUUUAGUUCCGGGCAAUGUAUGUCCGACGGCCAGAAUGCUUGCUACGGGGUCGCCUCAAGCCAGCGAGGAGAUCUGCGGUGGUGGCAAGGAGUUUUGGAAGGCCGGAGGCGGUGGGUGUGUGAAGGGACAGUGGUGUCAACCUUUGGGUCUGUUUCUCAAAAGGCUUUUCUUUUCUUUUUUGUUUUUCAAAAAUAAAUAGUAAACUAAGGCAAUAGAAGUUUUGCAGGAUAAGGGUUUACGGUGGGAAAUUUCUAAGGAAAAGUUAGAACACAGGUGGGAUGUUUUGGGAAUUUCGCGGAAGCUAUGAAAUUUGAAUUGAAUUUAGUCUCUGAUACCAAAAUUAAUGUAGAACAAACAAAGAAAAAUAAAGAACCAAGAGAAACAAGGACCAAUCCUUGGAAAAGAG
rnacentral:misc_RNA from 1 species